GAUGAACGCUGGCGGCGUGCCUAAUACAUGCAAGUCGAGCGAACAGACGAGGAGCUUGCUCCUCUGACGUUAGCGGCGGACGGGUGAGUAACACGUGGAUAACCUACCUAUAAUACUGGGAUAACUUCGGGAAACCGGAGCUAAUACCGGAUAAUAUAUUGAACCGCAUGGUUCAAUAGUGAAAGACGGUUUUGCUGUCACUUAUAGAUGGAUCCGCGCCGCAUUAGCUAGUUGGUAAGGUAACGGCUUACCAAGGCAACGAUGCGUAGCCGACCUGAGAGGAUGAUCGGCCACACUGGAACUGAGACACGGUCCAGACUCCUACGGGAGGCAGUAGUAGGGAAUCUUGCGCAAUGGGCGCAAGCCUGACGGAGCCACGCCGCGUGAGUGAUGAAGGUCUUCGGAUCGUAAAACUCUGUUAUUAGGGAAGAACAAAUGUGUAAGUAACUAUGCACGUCUUGACGGUACCUAAUCAGAAAGCAACGGCUAACUACGUG
rnacentral:rRNA from 1 species